rnacentral:rRNA from 1 species
AACGAACGCUGGCGGCAGGCUUAACACAUGCAAGUCGAGCGAGACCUUCGGGUCUAGCGGCGGACGGGUGAGUAACGCGUGGGAACGUGCCCUUCUCUACGGAAUAGCCCCGGGAAACUGGGAGUAAUACCGUAUACGCCCUUUGGGGGAAAGAUUUAUCGGAGAAGGAUCGGCCCGCGUUGGAUUAGGUAGUUGGUGGGGUAAUGGCCCACCAAGCCGACGAUCCAUAGCUGGUUUGAGAGGAUGAUCAGCCACACUGGGACUGAGACACGGCCCAGACCCCAAGGGGAGGCAGGGGUGGGGAAUUUUAGAAAAGGGGGGCAACCCUGAUUUGGCCAUGCCGGGUGAGUGAUGAAGGCCUUAGGGUUUAAAAGCUCUUUCAGCGGGGAAGAUAAGGACGGUACCAGCAAAAAAAGCCCCGGCUAACUCCGU